rnacentral:rRNA from 1 species
CCUACGGGUGGCAGCAGUGAGGAAUAUUGGUCAAUGGGCGCGAGCCUGAACCAGCCAAGCCGCGUGAAGGAUGACUGCCCUACGGGUUGUAAACUUUUUUUAUAAAGGAAUAAAGUCAGGUACGUGUGCCUUUUUGUAUGUACUUUACGAAUAAGGAUCGGCUAACUCCGUGCCAGCAGCCGCGGUAAUACGGAGGAUCCGAGCGUUAUCCGGAUUUAUUGGGUUUAAAGGGAGCGUAGAUGGGUUGUUAAGUCAGUUGUGAAAGUUUGCGGCUCAACCGUAAAAUUGCAAUUGAUACUGGCAGCCUUGAGUACAGUUGAGGUAGGCGGAAUUCGUGGUGUAGCGGUGAAAUGCUUAGAUAUCACGAAGAACUCCGAUUGCGAAGGCAGCUUACUAAACUGCCACUGACAUUGAUGCUCGAAAGUGUGGGUAUCAAACAGGAUUAGAUACCCCUGUAGUC